rnacentral:ncRNA from 1 species
UACUUGGUUGAUCCUGCUAGUAGUCAUAUGGUUGUCUCAAAGAUUAAGCCAUGCAUAUGUAAGUAUAAACAAAUUCAUACUGUGCAACUACGAAUGGCUCAUUCAAUCAGUUAUACUUUGUUUGAUGGUAUCUACUACUCGGAUAACCAUAGUAAUUCUAGAGCUAAUAUGUGCAAAAAACCACGACAUGUGGAAGGGAUACAUUUAUUAGAUAAAAGGUCGACGCGGGAUCUGCCCAUUAUCGCGAUGAUUCAUGAUAACUCGAUGGAUCGCAAGACCGUCAUGACGGUGACGCAUCAUUCUAAUUUUUGCUGGAUCAACUUUCGAUGGUA